GCCUGGCUAGCUCAGUCGGUAGAGCAUGAGACUCUUAAUCUCAGUUCGAGCCCCCCGUUGGGCG
rfam:Daphnia pulex DAPPTscaffold_3159_Cont14717, whole genome shotgun sequence.